rnacentral:rRNA from 1 species
UACGGAGGGAGCUAGCGUUGUUCGGAAAUACUGGGCGUAAAGCGAACGUAGGCGGCAUAGCAAGUCAGGGGUGAAAUCCCGGGGCUCAACCCCGGAACUGCCCUUGAAACUGCUAAGCUAGAAUCCUGGAGAGGCGAGUGGAAUUCCGAGUGUGGAGGUGAAAUUCGUUGAUAUUCGGAAGAACACCAGUGGCGAAGGCGACUCGCUGGACAGGUAUUGACGCUGAGGUUCGAAAGCGUGGGGAGCAAAC